rnacentral:lncRNA from 1 species
GUGCUCUUACGUGAGAAUAAGUACUUGGCAAUGGAUAGUAUACCAGUGCCCAGGUUGGGUAACAGCAGCCUACCACACUCUCACAAGGUCUUGAUAGCCUUCACACACUGAUCCAUGUUCAAAGAUGUACUGAUUUAACAUUCAGAUUGAAAAUACUGUGCCUUAGAUCCAGGGAUGCCCUUUGAUUGUUAGUUUAUUAAUAUCUUAACCAGAUAUAGAAUGUGUGUAUUUCUGUUCCUUUAAUUUUAUGUGUUUCUUUUUUUUCCUGUUUACUGUAUUAGUCUGAGAUAAAUUAUGUCCAUUAAAGGAAAGAAAGUUUAAAAAAUAGGUUUAAGUUUUGUGGUGUGCUGUAUUUAUUUUAAUGUACAGUAGAACUUAUAUGAAUGUAUGUAUUUACUUGAUUGACUUCAGAAAGCUGUGGUUUUAUUUGUAGAUAGAAAUUUCAUUGCCUCCUCUUGCCUCUGCAUUUUCUUUUUUAAUUGGUGUAACUUACAGAGUUCUAAUAUAUGCUUUAUUUUUGAAGUUUUUGUAUAUUAUUAAAGUAGUACACAUUUAUUAUAAAAAUUCUAAUAAAACAUAGAUUUUUUUAGGAAGAAAACUACAUUUUUUUCCUGUUACCUACCUCCUUCUUUCUCCAACCCAAAUGUCCAGAUCUAUAGAG